rnacentral:rRNA from 1 species
GGGGGGGGGGGGGGGGGGGGGGGGGGGGGGGGGGGCGGGGGGGGGGGCGGGGGGGGUGCGGGGCGGGGGGGAGCGGCGGACGGGUGGGGGACGCGUGGAGAGCCUCGCUGUACGGCUGGGCUGACUGCGGGAAACCGGCGCUGCUCCCGGAUCAUAUUUUGAACCGCAUGGUUCACACGUGAAAGACGGUCUUGCUGUCACUUAUAGCUGGCUCCCCGCUGCAUUAGCUCGUUGGGAAGGCAACGGCUUACCAAGGCAACGCUGCAUAGCCGACCUGAGAGGGUGAUAGGCCACACGGGAACUGAGACACGGUCCAGACGCCUACGGGAGGCAGCAGUAGGGAAUCGUCCGCAGUGGGCGAAAGCAUGACGGAGCAACGCCGCGUGAGUGAUGAAGGUCGUCGGAUCGUAAAACUCUGUUAUUAGGGAAGAACAGAUGUGUAAGUAACUGUGCACAUCUUGACGGUACCUAAUCAGAAAGCCACGGCUAACUACGUG